rnacentral:rRNA from 1 species
UACGAAGGGAGCUAGCGUUGUUCGGAAUUAUUGGGCGUAAAGAGCUCGUAGGCGGUUUGUCGCGUCUGCCGUGAAAGUCCGGGGCUCAACUCCGGAUCUGCGGUGGGUACGGGCAGACUAGAGUGAUGUAGGGGGAGACUGGAAUUCCUGGUGUAGCGGUGAAAUGCGCAGAUAUCAGGAGGAACACCGAUGGCGAAGGCAGGUCUCUGGGCAUUAACUGACGCUGAGGAGCGAAAGCAUGGGGAGCGAACAGG